rnacentral:lncRNA from 1 species
UUGUAGUAGUAGCUCGGAGUAGAUCGCUUGUAGCAGAAGCUCGAUGUAGAUCGCUUGUGGUGGGGGCUCGGAGUAGAUCGCUUGUAGCAGAAGCUCAGUGUAGAUCGCUUGUGGUGGGGGCUUGGAGUCCGGCCCUUGUAAGAAUUCGGAUGAGGUCUACCUGCAAUGGGAGUUCAGGGCUGAAGUCCGACUCCUGUAGGAGCUCGGACGAAGUCAACCUGC